rnacentral:rRNA from 1 species
AGAACGAACGCUGGCGGCAGGCUUAACACAUGCAAGUCGAACGCUCGUAGCAAUACGGGAGUGGCAGACGGGUGAGUAACGCGUGGGAACAUACCCUCCGGUUCGGAAUAGCUCAGGGAAACUUGGAUUAAUACCGGAUACGGCUGAGAGGCGAAAGAUUUAUCGCCGGAGGAUUGGCCCGCGUUCGAUUAGCUUGUUGGUGAGGUAACGGCUCACCAAGGCGAUGAUCGAUAGCUGGUCUGAGAGGAUGAUCAGCCACAUUGGGACUGAGACACGGCCCAAACUCCUACGGGAGGCAGCAGUGGGGAAUAUUGGACAAUGGGCGCAAGCCUGAUCCAGCCAUGCCGCGUGAGUGAUGACGGCCUUAGGGUUGUAAAGCUCUUUCGCUCGGGACGAUAAUGACGGUACCGAGAUAAGAAGCCCGGCUAACUUCGUGCCAGCAGCCGC